rnacentral:rRNA from 1 species
UACAGAGGUCCCAAGCGUUGUUCGGAUUUACUGGGCGUAAAGGGUGCGUAGGUGGUCGGGUAAGUCUCAUGUGAAAUCCCGCAGCUUAACUGCGGAAUGGCAUGGGAUACUAUUCGGCUCGAGGAUUGGAGGGGGGACUGGAAUUCCAGGUGUAGCAGUGAAAUGCGUAGAUAUCUGGAGGAACACCGGUGGCGAAGGCGGCAUCCUGGACCGGCAUUGACGCUGAGGCGCGAAAGCCAGGGGAGCAAACGGG